CCGCUAUGGUGAAAUCGGUAGACACGCUGCUCUUAGGAAGCAGUGCUAAAGCAUCUCGGUUCGAGUCCGAGUGGCGGCA
rnacentral:tRNA from 1 species